CUUCUAAUCAAACCAGGAUGAAUCACGGUGUAAGAACCUUGAUUUGGAUACAUAAUGGAGUGCAGAAUCACCAGGAAGUUGAAUAAAUCUUAUAGGAGUUAGGAUGAAGAAGCUAUCCCACUUUCAAACAAAGGGAUCCCAAUUUUCCUGUUUGGGAAUAUGACAACUUCUUCGUCAUUCUAAUCAAACCAGGAUGAGUCGGGAUGUAAGAAGCUUGAUUUGGAUACAUAAAGUAGUGGACAAUCACCAGGAAGUUGAAUAAAUGUAAUAGGAGUUAGGAUGAAGAAGUUAUCCCACUUUCAAAGCAAGAGAUCCCAGUUUUCUCGUUUGGAAAUAUGACAACUUCUUCGUCAUUCUAAUCAAACCAAGAUGACUCACGAUGUAAGAAUCUUGAUUUGGAUACAUAAAGUAGUGGACAAUCACCAGGAAGUUCAAUAAAUUUCAUAGGAGUUAGGAUGAAGAAGCUAUCCCACUUUCAAAGCAAGGGAUCCCAGUUUUCAUGUUUUGGAAAAUGACAACUUGUUCGUCAUUCUAAUCAAACCAGGAUGAAUCGCGAUGUAAGAAGCUUGAUUUGGAUACAUAAAGUAGUGGAGACUCACCAGGAAGUUGAAUAAAUCUCAUAGGAGUUAGGAUGAAGAAGCUACCCCACUUUCAAAGCAACGGAUCCCAAUUUUCCUGUUUGAGAAAAUGACAACUUCUUUGUCAGUCUAAUCAAACCAGGAUGAAUCACGGUGUAAGAAGGUUGAUUUGGAUACAUAAAAUAGCAGAGACUCCCUAGGAAGUUGAAUAAAUCUCAUAGGAGUUAGGAUGAUGAAGCUAUCCCACUGUCAAAUCAGGUGAUCCCAGUUUCCCUGUCUCGCAAUAUAACAACUUCUUCGUCAUUCUAAUCAAACCAGGAUGAAUCAGGAUGAUGAAGCUAUCCCACUGUCAAAUCAGGUGAUCCCAGUUUUCCUGUUUGGGAAUAUGACAACUUCUUCGUCCCUGUCUCGCAAUAUAACAACUUCUUCGUCAUUCUUAUCAAACCAGGAUGAACCGCGAUGUAAGAAGCUUGAUUUGGAUACAUAAAAUAGCAGAGACUCCCUAGGAAGUUGAAUAAAUCUUAUAGGAGUUAGGAUGAUGAAGCUAUCCCACUGUCAAAUCAGGUGAUCCCAGUUUUCCUGUUUGGGAAUAUGACAACUUCUUCGUCCCUGUCUCGCAAUAUAACAACUUCUUCGUCAUUCUUAUCAAACCAGGAUGAACCGCGAUGUAAGAAGCUUGAUUUGGAUACAUAAAAUAGCAGAGACUCCCUAGGAAGUUGAAUAAAUCUUAUAGGAGUUAGGAUGAUGAAGCUAUCCCACUGUCAAAUCAGGUGAUCCCAGUUUUCCUGUUUGGGAAUAUGACAACUUCUUCGUCCCUGUCUCGCAAUAUAACAACUUCUUCGUCAUUCUUAUCAAACCAGGAUGAACCGCGAUGUAAGAAGCUUGAUUUGGAUACAUAAAAUAGCAGAGACUCCCUAGGAAGUUGAAUAAAUCUUAUAGGAGUUAGGAUGAUGAAGCUAUCCCACUGUCAAAUCAGGUGAUCCCAGUUUUCCUGUUUGGGAAUAUGACAACUUCUUCGUCAUUCUAAUCAAACCAAGAUGAGUCGUGAUGUAAGAAUCUUGAUUUGGAUACAUAAAGUGGUGAACAAUCACCAGGAAGUUCAAUAAAUUUCAUAGGAGUUAGGAUGAAGAAGCUAUCCCACUUUCAAAGCAAGGGAUCCCAGUUUUCAUGUUUGGGAAAAUGACAACUUGUUUGUCAUUCUAAUCAAACCAGGAUGAAUCACGUUGUAAGAAGCUUGAUUUGGAUACAUAAAGUAGUGGAGACUCACCAGGAAGUUGAAUAAAUCUCAUAGGAGUUAGGAUGAAGAAGCUAUCCCACUUUGAAAGCAAGGGAUCCCAAUUUUCCUGUUUGGGAAAAUGACAACUUCUUCGUCAGUCAAUCAAACCAGGAUGAAUCACCUUGUAAGAAGGUUGAUUUGGAU
rnacentral:lncRNA from 1 species